AUUGCACAUGUCUACUUUUCCGCUAUGUAGCUAUAUAACUAUGUAACUAUGAUAGAUUCCGGAGCCAGCGACUGUGUCCUGGAUUUUCUUUGCUACCACCAUGUGUAUACCAUGUCGCAAUACAAAAAUAUCCAAUAUGUAUUAAAGUUGUGGAUGGUAGUCAUUUGAAGUCUUGGCUGGUUACCAAAGAAACCUCACCCAUCACUGUUAACAUUGGUACCCAUCAUACAGAAAUAAUGC